AUAGUUUCUUGACUAAUGUUAGAUAAGAAAUUUAGCCUGCCCUAUGAAAAUAUUUUAAAUGGCUGCAGUAUUAUGACUGUACAAAGGUAGCAUAAUCAUUAGCCUGUUAAUUAUAGGCUGGUAUGAAGGGCUAAACGUAGAACACCUAUUAUUAAUUAAUUAUUGAACUUUUCUUUUGUGUUAAAAGGCCCAAAUGGUAAUAUUAGACAAGAAGACCCUAUUAAAGUUUAUUGCUUUUAAUUAAUACAAUAAAUAAAUAGAAAUUAAAAUUAAAUUUAGCUGGGGCGGCAAAUAUAAAAUCAAUAUUUAUUAUAAAUAACUUAAAUAGCUAUAAGUAUUAAGAGCCUAAAAGAUAGCUAUAAGAAUUAGUUACUAUAGGGAUAACAGCGUGAUGUUAUUUUCGAGCUCUUAUCAACAAUAAUGUUUGCGA
rnacentral:rRNA from 1 species